rnacentral:rRNA from 1 species
AGUGAACGCUGGCGGUAGGCCCAACACAUGCAAGUCGAACGGCAGCACAGUAAGAGCUUGCUCUUACGGGUGGCGAGUGGCGGACGGGUGAGGAAUACAUCGGAAUCUACUUUUUCGUGGGGGAUAACGUAGGGAAACUUACGCUAAUACCGCAUACGACCUACGGGUGAAAGCAGGGGAUCUUCGGACCUUGCGCGAUUGAAUGAGCCGAUGUCGGAUUAGCUAGUUGGCGGGGUAAAGGCCCACCAAGGCGACGAUCCGUAGCUGGUCUGAGAGGAUGAUCAGCCACACUGGAACGGAGACACGGUCCAGACUCCUACGGGAGGCAGCAGUGGGGAAUAUUGGACAAUGGGCGCAAGCCUGAUCCAGCCAUACCGCGUGGGUGAAGAAGGCCUUCGGGUUGUAAAGCCCUUUUGUUGGGAAAGAAAAGCAGCAGGUUAAUACCCCGCUGUUCUGACGGUACCCAAAGAAUAAGCACCGGCUAACUUCGUG